rnacentral:tRNA from 1 species
GGGGUUGUGGUCUAGUGGUAAGACACCCUCUCAUAGAGAGGGAGGUCGGUGGUUCGAAUCCGCCCUGCUCCA